CCACUGCUUAGGAGUCCCACAAUAGGACAAAACGGCCGUCCAGUGC
rnacentral:hammerhead_ribozyme from 1 species